CUGACCCGGGUGCACAGAGCCGGCCGAGAGCCGGAGCUCCGACUUCAGCAUCAGCGCUUUCAGAACAAGGAGCGCUCGGAGACUCGAGGCUGAGCCGGCCCAGCGCCUCUCGUCCUUGGAACCGCGCGUCUGCCAGGCAUCGUGGGGACAGUUACUAAGGACGAGCCGUCUUCUUCUUAACCCCCAAACACUCAUUGUUUUCAACCAAACGACAACCAAAGUUUUUUUCAGAUAUUCUUAUUAGCCUCCCCUCUUGAGGACGCUUCAUCUGGAGACUUCCCUUGACUCACCCUCUCUGAGCCGCCCCCGAGGAGCCGGGACCUUGCAGGGCCGCCCACGCUCAAGGGCGCGUGGGCGGACUCCGGGUCAUGUUUUCAGAAGGAAGACUCUUGGAGCUUCCAGAAGUGAGGGCAGCGGGAGGGGACGAAGUGAGAGGCCCCAGGAGGCAGGAGGACCCCGGCAACAACACCCACGCUACCCGGUAUUUGAUCCGCAUGCCUCCCAGGGGCUGCAGGUCAGCAGGAGGGUCUCGGACGCCCAGUCAGGUGAGCUCUGUCUAGACGGCGCAGUCCCCCGGGGGCUCCCGCCCACCCCGCUGCCCCUCCACCUCUGCCCUGCUGCCCCUCCACCCCCCUGCUCUGCGUGCCUCGGCCCUGGCCCUUCCAGCCUUCCCACCCUUCUCCCCCUCCUGCUGCACCCAGAGAGGGGGUGCCCAUCCAGGACCAGGCAGUGCACGGGCGGGAAGGAGCCCAGCCUCAGGUCCCCGGGGCCCGAGCUCCCCACAGCCAGCGGGCUCAGCCCGGGGGACCCUGGGGGCGCGGGCACAGGAAGCAUAACUGCAGACAAACGCAUCUGAGCCUAGAGCAAGCCCUGCAUUUCCUUCCCUUCAAGGGAAAUUUGAAACUUCCAAGGUCAAAACAACUCCGUUGUUCAGGUUUUUAUUAACUCAGACGUUGCCUCAGGAUGCUAAGUCAAGGUUUUCCGCCCCGGGCCACGGGCUGUCCAAGGAGUCCGUGACCAACUGCAGAAAACGCCUGUGAGGACGCGAAGUCGAGUCCCCACCACGUAGAGCCAGGACGGCGGGAAGCGUCACUGGGCCGGGCCAGGGAUCUGUCCACCUGGCUUCCCAGGCUAAGGACACGGCAUCUUGCUUUUCAAGAUCAAAGUUAGUUUUUAAAAUUUUACUCGCUUGUUUCAAAUAAAAACAUGAAGACACGUCCA
ensembl:lncRNA